rnacentral:sRNA from 1 species
ACAUUUCUAGUGGGCAUGCAGGACCCUUAAAAAAACCGAUGGGCACCAUGUGUUUAGGAAGGCUGCGGAGGCAGUUUAUAGCAAGAUAAUUGACAACCAUGGCUGCCAGUAGCAAGGAUGGACUGUACAUUGGGGAAACAUAUGUCACCGUUAUCCAUUCAGUCACACUGGCUUCUGCUGCCUCAUCCGACAACCACAAAUCUAGGGAAGUAUUGAAUACAUCUCAUCAAGUACAAGGGGUUUUAUCAACACAUGUUACAAGCCCCAUGGUCGACAAUACUGACGAAAACAGAUUUAUAUUUGGUCUCGCACACCAAUCCUUAUGUUACAUCAGCCAUAUUUAAAAACUAUCGUCACAGAAGGGGCCCAUUUACGCAAUAGCGUUUCCUCAGAUAAUGUUCAACAGAUAAAAUUAAUAUUUGCCAUAUAAGUUAGGAUAGAUAAUAUUCUACAGCUUUUUCUGGAGUGUAAUAAAGAAAGUGCAAUACAUAAAAUACAUGUAUCUUAAUGUGUUAAUUCACAAUUUUUUUUUAAAUUCCUUCUACAUCAAAUAUAUUUAUACAAUCUAAAUUCUGCUGGAAAAAAUUGGUUUGUCUAUAUAUCUAGAUAUUUUAAGACCAGUUAUUAAUCUUCUUUUUUCCACAUACAUAUUAAAAGUACAUGUUGAUAUAGAUUAAAGGGAGAUAAGUUUGAGCGACUUCCUGAUAAUGGGAAUCUUUCACUUCAGGUGACAGUGUGAUCAGGUAGCUUUGACACCAUGAUAAGUGGCCUACACUUCUAAGCUGUAGAUAACCAGAAAACAGCAAGCUUCUCCAAGAAAACAAUCAUCAUCAAGUUUUUAUGGGUGACUUUGAUUAAUUUAUUUGUCCAGGAAUGUUCUGUAUAUAAAAUGGGCCUUGCACUUUUAUAUGCAGGGAUUUUGAAUUGAUAUAAUAAAUAAAUUUUCUUGAUUUGUUAAAAAUUCCAUAGACAAAUAUAAUACAAUAAUUUUUCAGUGACAAGUUUACUGAGGAUAUAAAAAGUUUCAAUAAUUUCAAGUACUUUUAGAUUUUAUGAAUGUGGAAAUUACAACUGAAUUCCCAG